UGCGACCAAUCAAUGAACUUGAUCCUUCAGUACAAAAGCUGAAAUAUACACAUAAGACGAAAAGACCCUAUGGAGCUUUAAACCACUAUACUACUAAAACUAACCAAAACCGUGUCCCCUAGUAUAAGCUUUCAGUUGGGGCAACUACGGAGCAAAACAAAAACUCCACGACAAACGCCUAACACGCGCAAACCCCAGGCCGCCAAGCCGAACAUAUCUCGCCCAGAUCCAGUCCGACUGAGCAACGAACCAAGUUACCCUAGGGAUAACAGCGCCAUCUUCCCCCAAGAGCCCAUAUCCACGGGGAGGCUUACGACCUCGAUGUUGGAUCAGGACCCCCCGGCGGUGCAGCCGCUGCCAAAGGUUCGUUUGUUCAACGACUAACGUCCUAC
rnacentral:rRNA from 1 species